rnacentral:rRNA from 2 species
CACUAUCGUUAACUGAAUACAUAGGUUAACGAGGCGAACCGGGGGAACUGAAACAUCUAAGUACCCCGAGGAAAAGAAAUCAACCGAGAUUCCCCCAGUAGCGGCGAGCGAACGGGGAGCAGCCCAGAGUCUGAAUCAGCUUGUGUGUUAGUGGAACGGUCUGGAAAGUCCGACGGUACAGGGUGAUAGUCCCGUACACCAAAAUGCACAGGUUGUGAACUCGAAGAGUAGGGCGGGACACGUGGUAUCCUGUCUGAAUAUGGGGGGACCAUCCUCCAAGGCUAAAUACUCCUGACUGACCGAUAGUGAACCAGUACCGUGAGGGAAAGGCGAAAAGAACCCCGGCGAGGGGAGUGAAAAAGAACCUGAAACCGUGUACGUACAAGCAGUGGGAGCACCUUCGGGUGUGACUGCGUACCUUUUGUAUAAUGGGUCAGCGACUUAUAUUCUGUAGCAAGGUUAACCGUAUAGGGGAGCCGCAGGGAAACCGAGUCUUAACUGGGCGUUAAGUUGCAGGGUAUAGACCCGAAACCCGGUGAUCUAGCCAUGGGCAGGUUGAAGGUUGGGUAACACUAACUGGAGGACCGAACCGACUAAUGUUGAAAAAUUAGCGGAUGACUUGUGGCUGGGGGUGAAAGGCCAAUCAAACCGGGAGAUAGCUGGUUCUCCCCGAAAGCUAUUUAGGUAGCGCCUCGUGAACUCAUCUUCGGGGGUAGAGCACUGUUUCGGCUAGGGGGUCAUCCCGACUUACCAACCCGAUGCAAACUACGAAUACCGAAGAAUGUUAUCACGGGAGACACACGGCGGGUGCUAACGUCCGUCGUGAAGAGGGAAACAACCCAGACCGCCAGCUAAGGUCCCAAAGUCAUGGUUAAGUGGGAAACGAUGUGGGAAGGCACAGACAGCCAGGAUGUUGGCUUAGAAGCAGCCAUCAUUUAAAGAAAGCGUAAUAGCUCACUGGUCGAGUCGGCCUGCGCGGAAGAUGUAACGGGGCUAAACCAUGCACCGAAGCUGCGGCAGCGACACUAUGUGUUGUUGGGUAGGGGAGCGUUCUGUAAGCCUGCGAAGGUGACCUGUGAGGGUUGCUGGAGGUAUCAGAAGUGCGAAUGCUGACAUAAGUAACGAUAAAGCGGGUGAAAAGCCCGCUCGCCGGAAGACCAAGGGUUCCUGUCCAACGUUAAUCGGGGCAGGGUGAGUCGACCCCUAAGGCGAGGCCGAAAGGCGUAGUCGAUGGGAAACAGGUUAAUAUUCCUGUACUUGGUGUUACUGCGAAGGGGGGACGGAGAAGGCUAUGUUAGCCGGGCGACGGUUGUCCCGGUUUAAGCAUGUAGGCUGGUUAUCCAGGCAAAUCCGGAUAAUCAAGGCUGAGGUGUGAUGACGAGGCACUACGGUGCUGAAGUAACAAAUGCCCUGCUUCCAGGAAAAGCCUCUAAGCAUCAGGUAACAUCAAAUCGUACCCCAAACCGACACAGGUGGUCAGGUAGAGAAUACCAAGGCGCUUGAGAGAACUCGGGUGAAGGAACUAGGCAAAAUGGUGCCGUAACUUCGGGAGAAGGCACGCUGGUGUGUAGGUGAAGCCCCUGCGGGUGGAGCUGAGACCAGUCGAAGAUACCAGCUGGCUGCAACUGUUUAUUAAAAACACAGCACUGUGCAAACACGAAAGUGGACGUAUACGGUGUGACGCCUGCCCGGUGCCGGAAGGUUAAUUGAUGGGGUUAUCCGUAAGGAGAAGCUCUUGAUCGAAGCCCCGGUAAACGGCGGCCGUAACUAUAACGGUCCUAAGGUAGCGAAAUUCCUUGUCGGGUAAGUUCCGACCUGCACGAAUGGCGUAAUGAUGGCCAGGCUGUCUCCACCCGAGACUCAGUGAAAUUGAACUCGCUGUGAAGAUGCAGUGUACCCGCGGCAAGACGGAAAGACCCCGUGAACCUUUACUAUAGCUUGACACUGAACAUUGAGCCUUGAUGUGUAGGAUAGGUGGGAGGCUUUGAAGCGUGGACGCCAGUCUGCGUGGAGCCAACCUUGAAAUACCACCCUUUAAUGUUUGAUGUUCUAACGUUGGCCCCUUACCGGGGUUGCGGACAGUGUCUGGUGGGUAGUUUGACUGGGGCGGUCUCCUCCCAAAGCGUAACGGAGGAGCACGAAGGUUAGCUAAUCCUGGUCGGACAUCAGGAGGUUAGUGCAAUGGCAUAAGCUAGCUUGACUGCGAGCGUGACGGCGCGAGCAGGUGCGAAAGCAGGUCAUAGUGAUCCGGUGGUUCUGAAUGGAAGGGCCAUCGCUCAACGGAUAAAAGGUACUCCGGGGAUAACAGGCUGAUACCGCCCAAGAGUUCAUAUCGACGGCGGUGUUUGGCACCUCGAUGUCGGCUCAUCACAUCCUGGGGCUGAAGUAGGUCCCAAGGGUAUGGCUGUUCGCCAUUUAAAGUGGUACGCGAGCUGGGUUUAGAACGUCGUGAGACAGUUCGGUCCCUAUCUGCCGUGGGCGCUGGAGAAUUGAGGGGGGCUGCUCCUAGUACGAGAGGACCGGAGUGGACGCAUCACUGGUGUUCGGGUUGUCAUGCCAAUGGCACUGCCCGGUAGCUAAAUGCGGAAGAGAUAAGUGCUGAAAGCAUCUAAGCACGAAACUUGCCCCGAGAUGAGUUCUCCCUGAGACUUUAAGUCUCCUGAAGGAACGUUGAAGACGACGACGUUGAUAGGCCGGGUGUGUAAGCGCAGCGAUGCGUUGAGCUAACCGGUACUAAUGAACCGUGAGGCUUAACCUU